AACGAACGCUGGCGGCAUGCCUAACACAUGCAAGUCGAACGAGACCUUCGGGUCUAGUGGCGCACGGGUGCGUAACGCGUGGGAACCUGCCCUUAGGUUCGGAAUAACUCCCCGACAGGGGUGCUAAUACCGGAUAAUGUCUUCGGACCAAAGAUUUAUCGCCUUUGGAUGGGCCCGCGUUGGAUUAGCUAGUUGGUAGGGUAAAAGCCUACCAAGGCGACGAUCCAUAGCUGGUCUGAGAGGAUGAUCAGCCACACUGGGACUGAGACUCGGCCCAGACUCCUACGGGAGGGAGCAGUGGGGAAUAUUGGACAAUGGGCGAAAGCCUGAUCCAGCAAUGCCGCGUGAGUGAUGAAGGCCUUAGGGUUGUAAAGCUCUUUUACCCGGGAUGAUAAUGACAGUACCGGGAGAAUAAGCUCCGGCUAACUCCGUG
rnacentral:rRNA from 1 species